rnacentral:lncRNA from 1 species
ACGCACCUGCCCAGGGGUCUCAGCUCGAUGACUUGAACCAUGUCAAGGAUGGUUAGAGUACACGUGUAGUUGUACCCCUAAACUGCCACGCGGCAGCAUCCUAACUCACCUCUCUUUUUUCUCUUUCGAUCCCCCCACCCCGUGACCCCUCUUUCCUUUUCUCUCUCUCUAAAACUAUAUUUAUCUCGAACUCACUCUCUCUAGCACCGAGAGGAGAAAGCUCUCACUCUCCCACUUACCUUCAUAAAUAAACCCCGACCUUAGCAUAUUCGAAGUCUGUGGGAUGUAAAUAUCACAGUGGUGAUCUUACAUGUGGGAUCGGUUCAGUGUGGACCUUGGCACCAUUAAUGCCAAAAGCUUGAAGCUCUCAAACUCAAACCCAGGUGAGGUCUUUAAUUACUUUUGAAUUUCUGGGUCUUAAUCUUACUAUGUUGCACUCUGUGAUGCUAAUUUUGCAUUGAAACUCGAGGGUUUCAACCUUUUCAACUUCUGCGCGUACGAACCCCAGCCUCGACGACAAAUUCCAGUAAAAUGCCGUCGAGUUUGAAGUCGGCUGG